rnacentral:rRNA from 1 species
UACGUAGGGGGCAAGCGUUGUCCGGAUUUAUUGGGCGUAAAGAGCGUGUAGGCGGCCAUGUAGGUCCGUUGUGAAAACUCGAGGCUCAACCUCGAGACGCCGAUGGAAACCAUGUGGCUAGAGUCCGGAAGAGGAGAGUGGAAUUCCUGGUGUAGCGGUGGAAUGCGCAGAUAUCAGGAGGAACACCAAUAGCGAAGGCAGCUCGCUGGGACGGUACUGACGCUAAGGCGCGAAAGCGUGGGAGCGAACAG